GAUGAACGCUAGCGGCAGGCCUAAUACAUGCAAGUCGGACGGGAUUCAGGAGCUUGCUUCUGAUGAGAGUGGCGCACGGGUGCGUAACACGUAUGUAACCUACCUUUAUCAGGGGGAUAGCCUCUCGAAAGAGAGAUUAAGCCCGCAUAAAAUCACAGCACAGCAUUGUGUAAUGAUCAAAUAUUUAUAGGAUAAAGAUGGGCAUGCGGAACAUUAGCUAGAUGGCGGGGUAACGGCCCACCAUGGCGACGAUGUUUAGGGGAUCUGAGAGGAUGGCCCCCCACACUGGUACUGAGACACGGACCAGACUCCUACGGGAGGCAGCAGUAGGAAUAUUGGUCAAUGGGCGGAAGCCUGAACCAGCCAUGCCGCGUGCAGGAAGACGGCCCUACGGGUUGUAAACUGCUUUUAUACGGGAAUAAACCCAGAUACGUGUAUCUGGCUGAAUGUACUGUAAGAAUAAGGAUCGGCUAACUCCGUG
rnacentral:rRNA from 1 species